UACGUAGGGGGCAAGCGUUGUCCGGAAUCAUUGGGCGUAAAGGGCGCGUAGGCGGCUCGGUCAGCGUGCGGUGAAAGCCCGGGGCUCAACCCCGGGGCGGCCGUGCGAACUGCCGAGCUGGAGCACUGUAGAGGCAGGUGGAAUUCCGGGUGUAGCGGUGGAAUGCGUAGAGAUCCGGAAGAACACCGGUGGCGAAGGCGGCCUGCUGGGCAGUUGCUGACGCUGAGGCGCGACAGCGUGGGGAGCAAACAGG
rnacentral:rRNA from 1 species